AUGCCCCCGCUUCCGCGCCUCUUCGCCUCCGUCAGACACAUCUGCUCCGGCUCCGCCCCCGAGCUCGCCCCGGUACCGACCGCCGUCUCUGACGCCGCCUCCCGCGCGGCAGCCGCCGUGCUCCGCGCCCCGCGCUUCGAGCCCCGCCUCCUGUCGCUCGUCCCACGCCAACUGCUCUUCGAGCCGAGCUGCGUCCGCCGAACCCUCUCCCGUCUCCUCCCCUCCCCUGAGCCCUCGCUCCGUUUUCUCCUCUUCCUCGCCUCUCACUUCCCCGCCCCUGCCCCCGCUGACUCCCCUGCCCCUUCGCCUCACCUCCCCGGGAUCGACGCCUUCCUCCUCAGCCUCCAGCCACAUCUCGCCGCCGAUGCCGCCGCGCUGCUAGCCUCCCACCUCGGCCUCCACUCCUCCCUGCCCGCACUCAACGCGGCAUCCCGUGCCGCUCUCCGGGCCGCGCGCCCCGACCUCGUCUUCCGCCUCUUUUCCACCUUCUCCUCCUCCCCUGCCUUCCCAGGCAACGCGGACACCGUCGCCUGCCUCGUGCGCGCCUGUGCAGCCGACUGCCGCCCGCUCGACGGCCUCCGCCUCCUUCGGGAUGCUGCACGACGUGGCUCCCCUCCCUCGUCUGCUGCUGCCGCCGACCUUGUCACGUCCUUUGUGGCCAUCGGCAACUUCGCAAAGGUGUCUGAGACGCUCCACCUCAUGAUCUCUGCGGGAUGUCCUCCAGCUACGUUUGUCUACCGGCGUGUCAUACAUGGGCUCUUUGCGCAUGGGAUGGGCGGCGAGGCCCUUCGUGUCUUCAGCGAGAUCAAGCUGCGUGGUUAUGCCAUAGAUGUAGUCACUUACAACACAGCGCUCACCGGUUUAUGUAAAAUGGGCCAUAUUGCCGAUGCCCAGCAGAUGUGGGAUGAGAUGGUGGACAAAGGUAUACAGCCUAGUGAGUAUGCAUAUUGCUCUUUUCUCGAUUACUACUGUGAAGCUGGUGAUUUUGGGAUGGCUCUCAAGGUGUAUGAAGAAAUGCUUGACAAGGGAUUCAAGGAGAGCACAGUUAGCUGUAACAUUAUCGCCAAAGGGUUUUGUGUUCAUAGGAGGGUGGACGAAGCAGUUGGGGUGUUCGAGGGAAUGGUUACUAAAGGGAUUGAACAUGAUGUGAUCACUUAUAACACGUUGAUUCAGGGCCUAUGCAAGGUUGGUAGGUUGGCUGAGGCGAUAGGGAUGUAUCAGCGGUUACUCUCAUCUGGUUUGGAGCCAAGUGUGCAGACCUUCACACCACUCAUUGACACCUUGUGCGAGGAAGGACAGGUUGAUGAUGCUGUUGAAUUACUUACCUUGAUGCAGGCUAAGGGCUUGGAACCGUUGGAACGUAGCAAUGAUAGUGUCAUCAAUAGGUUCUGUAAGGUCAGGCGGGCUGAUGAUGGUAUGGCAUGGUUGGCUAGCAUGUUGAAGAACAAUCUGAAACCUCAGGAACAGACGUUCAAUUCUUUGCUGGAGUCGCUGAGGAAAUCCGAGCGAAUGGAUGACGCACUGCUGAUUCUGAAUACAAUGCUUAAAGCUGGAUAUGAAUUAGGCAGUUUGGCUUCUGCUAUACUUGUUGAUAAGUUAUGCACAGGCAAUGUAUCUUAUCCUCAAAAGUUGGAGGAUAUUUUGUUGAGCAGCUAG
rnacentral:rRNA from 1 species